AAUAGCUAUACCAUCGAAACUAUAUAACCUGAUUACAGCAAGGUUCUUCCAUGGAAUUUUGUCAAUUCUGAGAGAUAUUUAGAUAAAUCCCUUAAGUUAAAGAAUAUAACAUUUUUUACUUAAACAAGAGGGAUUUUAUCAAUAUAGCUCAAAAUUUGGAAAUAUUUGCUCUAGAAUAAAGGGCUGCCUAGAAGGGGUGAAGCAAAUUUCGAAUUCUUUAGAGAGCUACACUGCAGGCUAAAUAUUUAUCUGCCGUUGGAACUUGGAAUACAACAAAAAGAAGACAUAAGAAAAUGGCGACGUUGGAGACUGAAUAUUUGUCAUACGCAUGGCUGCCUGAUUAAUUGUUAUGCGCACAUUUACCACAGUUUGGUGUAUUCUGAAGCUUUGGCGAUUUCAACUAAUGGGGUUCCGAUAAUAAGUUUGGUCACGUGUUACAUAAAAGCAUGGCUUAAUCAAGGAUCGUUCAAUGAGUUCUACAAUGAAGAUACAAUUUUAAGAAAAGUAUUAAGAUAUUAAGACACGAUUGACUGAGUGAAAGACACGAUUUCUGUAGCAAGGCUUAUCAGAAAUCAAGUGCCUGAGAUAAAUAUUUUCUGAGGAAAUGUCUGUAGGAAAAUAAAGGUGAAAAAGAGAUACUUCACAGAGAGUAAAACUGGAAACAAAUUGGAAAAGAUUCUCUUGAAAUGCUGGAAAUAAAAUGCUUUUUAUUAGAAAGCGCAGUUGUUCCUCUGCUGUGUAAACAAAGUUGGUGAAGAUACGUCCUGUUAAACAUAUGAAACUCAAAAAAAGUCUACACGUCUGUCGAAGUCUUAUUAAUGAUGGCCUCAUAAAUAUCCUUUAAGUUGUUCAGAUUUGAUUAAAAUAAGCCAAGGAGAAUUAACUGUUGAAUAUCUACAGUAAAAAGAAGAUGAUGAAAUGUGUCAGUUAAACAUCUGCAGCAGAGUCAACUUGAAAUCAUUAGGAUUUCGGAUAUUUGUGUGUUACAGUAGAUUUGGAUAUGAAAGAUUCUACCACAUGUUGCUGAUGAACCGGUAUGAAAAAAGCUAUCAGAUGCCCACGCAAUCAUUUUCUCUUGCAUGCGCACUCUCUCUGCACAGCAAUGGCAUGCUUAAUUUCUAAAAAGAACCAAAAUAAUAUGACAUAAUAAUGCGAUAAUCUGCAUUAGCGUAUUAAGUCUCUUCUUCGAAAUAUCCUGAUUUCUCAAAUAAAAACAUUUUAAAGAACAUUUUUUGCCAUGCAAAUCAGUGAUAACAUCAUCUACCAGAAAAAAAUAGUUUGCCAGAAAAAAUAGUUUUGUACAAUGUUACACAUAUUUUCUAAUGCAAGUAUUUUGAUGAACUUUAUUGUUUUAUUUUUAUAUUAUGUUUAAUUACAGAUAAAUUUAAAAUGCUGUUGUAAAUUAAGGCAGUUCUAAGAAAAAAUACUAAAGAAUAAAUUGCUGCUUCUAGUUUAAGGAAUUUUAUUAAUAGAAUCAGAAAGUACUUUACAUGUAUCCCUGUUAUGAAAUUUCACUUGUACCCCUGUUAUGAAAUGUUUCAUCGUUGCAUUAAAUAAAUAUUAGA